GUGAGCGUAGCUCAAUUGGUAGAGCAGUGGACUGUGGCUCCACGGGUUGCGGGUUCGACUCCCGUCGCUCACC
rnacentral:tRNA from 1 species